CGGAAGCAAUGAAGCCAGCGUUGGCUUCCUGCCGAUCCGGUGUUCCUCGUAUGUCCCCGGGAAGAUAUCCUCGGUGGGUCGUCAAGCGGCAUGUGACCGGCUCCUUGUGGGUCGAUUCGAGUUCCUCUCUCCCCAGUGCCGGCAUAAAAAGAGUUGCAGUUUAGUUGGUUCGCUGGCUUUGCUAAGUAGCUCACUUGUUGCCAUCAGAAUUUUCCUGUAUUUGAAAACCCUGUCAAUGUCAGCAAGGAGGUUAGCUGAUGAUUGCUUUUUAAUCGAAGGAUGUCCAAGGUGGAGUUUGGUUAGGGGGACUUGUUUGAUGCAGACAGCUUGAUUCCACAAUGAUGCCAGAUCACAGUGAGGAAUGAUUCCAUCGAGGAAUAGAUGCAACUCUGUCCAUGUGAACCAAAUAGAGCUGCAUUCGGUCCGUGGAUUGGAAAAUCACCGAUCCUCUUCGAAUUGGCUUCUCAAAUAAAGUAUUUGCAGUGGCUUUCACAGGAAAGGAAUAUCCUUUUCCUGCACGAAUGGGUUGGUGUGGGCCAAUCAAACUCCAGGAUUUUUGUCUUUUAACACACACUAGUCCGUAUGAGUACCUUGAGCAGGAUGAGGCGUUUGGUCAUGUGUUUCACAGAGGAACUCUGAAUGAAUGAUCCAAAAUCGGCUUGCUCAAAAUAAUGUUUCACCCGGGUGUAGGACAGGGUUCAUGAUGUUUAACAUGCCCCGCUUAAUCCGUAGUCAUGGAAAUUCAUUCCGGAAGCUCACCGAAAAUUUCAAGUGUCGGGACGACAUCAUCAAGUAUUGGAUCCUUGCAAACCUGUCAUGAGGAAUGAUUGUACUUGAGGACCUCACAGUGGUAACUUGGUGAAAGGUCAUGAUGAUGGAUGGAGUCGGUGUCCUUGUGAAAGAUAUUUGAUAAUGCUGUCACAUCCUGCUUGGAAUUCGAUGCUUAUCAGAUGUACGUGAAGAUGGAGAAUACAUCACCAGAGGUCCAGACUAUGUAGAAUCAAAAAGCAAGCACUGGUGAGUACAUUGUUACACAUACUAGUCGCAUCACCGAACCAAAAUAUGGUUGUUAUCAGGCACUGCACUAAUUCUUCUUUUUAUCUUCUUUCCAAGGAAGAAGAAACGAAUGGCAGCUGGACUUCGCUGGUGAAGAAGAGGACGAUUCACGUGGCGAAGGCUGACAUAGACACAUAUGCACUCACCGUAGACCUUGCCUCUCGGGGUACCACGGUGCAAGGGCACCAAAAAAAAAAAAAAAAAUCCAAGGUAAAAGCUUAUGUGCAGAAAUAAUAAAGUGGAUCGCCAGGCACCAUCACAGAACCUUUGCAGUGCAUUCCAACAUAACCAUGCAUGGAAUCAGGCAGAUGGAGCCUGCAGCCUCCUCUUGCAAAUCAUUCACUAAUACCUACCACAUACAGACAUCAACAUCCAGACAACCAUUUAUCUUUUCCCUACACUCACUCGUUUGUUUACUGCCCCCGGUGAUCCGGAGUCGAAUUAUUCAACAGUCCCAAGAGAUACUCCUUUGAUUCCUCCAUUUCUUUAUCUUUAGCAUUAUUGUGGCUCAUUCAUUUUACUAACUCAAAUUUCUUUUUUCCUUUUCCUGUGCUCCGAUUCUCAUCCGCCAUGCACCAACCUUCCUCAGGGCUGCGGAGGGUGACAUGGAUGGAUGGAUGGAUGGAUGCGUGCGCGACGGGUCUCUGCCCGCCCCCAGUGAUUCGAUACGCAUUCAUCUAGUGGAGUGGCGACGGGGCCCCAAUGCCCCCUCCUCCCAAGGCUGAGUGUCCCAAUGCGUCUCUCUCCUGACCAUCCACCUGAUCCUGAUUGGACUGCUGCGGUCGGGACGCCUCCACUAUCCUACCAGGUAAG